CCGGCCCCUUCCUCCCGGCGCCCCUCCCUCCGCGUCCCCUCGGCGGAGGCGCUGGGCUCGGCGGGACCCGCCCGGGAGCCGCACCCACGGCGGCCGGCGGACGCGGCCAGGUGCGCGGCCCGGAGCAGGAAUUUACAGCUGAGCGCUCGCCUUACAUCUCAGAGGAGACUUGGGACUUGGACUUGCCAGGAAUGCUGAAACUGUUAGGACUUGGGCAACUCUUACAGAUGGACUAAAUGCUGUUCGGUUUUUGUUGUUGUUUUUUGUUUGUUUGUUUUUGUGGUGCUAGAGAUUGAACCCAGAGCCUUAUGCAUGCCAGGCAAGAACUCUACCACUGAGCCACAUCUCCAGCUCCCAGAAUGAAUGCCUUUUACAUAAAGGAAUGUACAUGAGUCUUUGGGGCUCAGGGGCAGAAUGCUUUGAUUUGUGUCUAGUUGUCACCCCAAAGCCUCAUGCAGUCAUAAGUGGGGCUUUUCAGAGGUGGCUGAUUCAUGAUUGAUUCAUGGUGCAGUGAUGGGAUUAAGGUGCUAGGACCAAGCGUGGAUAUUACUGAAUUAGUCCCAUGUGCCACCCUGCCUUGGAGCCAGCUGACUUCGGACUGAAGCCUCUACACACUGAAGGGCUAAGUAAACCUUUCCUCCUUUCCCUCUGGAGGUCCAGGUAUUUUGUCUCAGCAACAAGAAACCAAAACAAGAAGAUAGCAACCCACACCCUGGCUGCUAUCAGAGAACCACAGAAUUUGUGUCGUGAGGAUGUGGACAAACAAACCUUCACACACUAUUGAUGAGACCAUAAAUGAUCCCACUUCUAUGGGGAAAAUGUAAUUCCUUUAAAAAUACAAAGUAGACUCAUGACCCAGCUGUUCUACUUCUGUUUACAUACUCAGAACUGCAGCAGGGUCUUGAUGAGACCCAUGUUUACAUAUCACUCAGGGUGGCUGAAGUGUGGAAGCCAAUCAAGAAUCCGAAGACAUUGCCCAUCGUUCGAGGCCAGCCUGGGCUGCAUGGUGAGUUCAAGGCCAGCUUGACCUGCACAGCAAGACUGUCUCAAAAGAAACUAAUAGAUACAUACCGGAUAUGCUGGUGACCAAGAAUUUGGAUUAAAUAACCUCUGCUUUUGGCAAACUAAUACCUCAUGGUAUGGUUGAGUGAGAACAAGACCUACCAAGACAGUAAUCUGUCAGAAAUCUUGUGUGGGGAGAGAGGUCACUGAAAACGUCAUUAGGCAAUGGGGAGCACAGGGGCCGGGGUGUCUGUGCAGUGGUGGUUUCCAAAGCGGCUGGCCAUUAUCUCCUGUGCAUCUUUUAAGAACAGAGAAAGCACUUCUUUAAACAAAACAGUAAUGAGAGAAGUUAACCAAGGGGAAAAGAAGAGUCCACAGAGCAAUGCACAAAGAAAAUGUGGCCUGUAGGAAGCAAUGUCACAGAGCUGAGAGGCCUCCAGGACAGAAGUCAGGCGUGCUCCUGGGCCCCUAACUCAGAAUCUGUCGCCCACUGAACUCGAGGCUCACACUGCUAUCUACCCCCACCCUGCCCUGCCCCAUCUUACCACACUCAAAGCCCAGAGGGCUCCCCUGGUGUCUCCAAAAACAAGCUGGGUGGAAAGUGAAACUGCAGAUCAUCACUGAGCAGCAGAGGACAAACCUGGCCCUUAACCUGUUGCCCAUUAAAACGCGUUUCGUGUUUUCUUCUGAGGCACUCAGGGACUUACAGCGGCUUUUGCUGAAGCAGUGACCUCCUCGGUGCCCACAGACGUGCAGGGGCGACUGCAGCAGGAGCGAGCUGGCCCUGCCUUGGCUUUGCAUUUCUCUCUUUACUGCCUUGCGACUCGGGGGACAGGGAGCAUUAAUUGUAAGGUUUACUAGCUGUCACCCACCCAACCUCUCAUGAAGACCGGCUGGCUUUUAACCCCUGGAGCGAGCACCCAAGGGUCUGCGGUCAUUGCCCCAGGUCUGUGGUCACCUUGGAUUUCCAACAGAGCCCCGCUGCACCCAGGCUGCCUCUCCUAGGUGCAGCAGCCACCCCUGGGACCCAAGUGUCAUCGGGCCGGGAGAUGGGUUUCUCCAGAGCUGUGAACCGCGCUGAGAGGACCCUCAGCCACACCUGAGCCUGCCUCGGCGGCCCCCAGUGCUAUUUCCUUCUGGAAGGGGCCGAGUGACCUCCCUUUGGCGCCUCAGGCUGAAGUCACACCUUACCUUCUUACCUCCCUUUGUGAAGGCCCAGCCUCACCCCAUCAGAACAGCCAAGUUCCCUUUCCUUUUUUUUUGCCUUUUUGAGACAGGGCUUCACCAUGCAGUUCAGGCUGGCCUUGGGCUCACUUUACAGCCCAGGCUGGUCUCGAACUCACAGCAAUGCUCCUGCCUCAGCCUCCCGAGUACUGGGAUUACAAGCAUGUGCCACUAUGCCCAGCUUCAUUUUCUUACUUUUUAAUUAAAGCUUUUGCCUAUAAA